GAAAAAAUGUAUGCCUGAUGUCGUUUAGGUGAUGUUAUUUGUAUUGAUUUAAUGUACUCAAAGGAGUGUUAUAAAAUUACGGCUAAAAGAUAGUUGGAUACUGAGCUGAUCUUUAUUGAACUGUAUCUGUAAUAAAUCGGAAAUACUAAGUUAUGUUUAAUUCAUUAGUAUUUGUUUUCAAAUUACAAAUACCAUAAAGGAUAUAACCUAGCAAACGCGAAGAUGGUACCCCGCUGGGGGUAGCCAUCCACAUGAUAAUCAAAUAGCUAAAAAAUUCUACCAAAUGUCCAAAUUGGAAAAAUUGUGAAUGUGAAAUAUUAAAUAAAAAAAAAAUGACAAAUACAUAUAUUAUAGUAAAAAAAACUAAACAUUUUGAA